rnacentral:rRNA from 1 species
UACGAAGGGAGCUAGCGUUGUUCGGAAUCACUGGGCGUAAAGCGCACGUAGGCGGAUGUGUCAGUCAGGGGUGAAAUCCCGGAGCUCAACUUCGGAGCUGCCUUUGAUACAGCACGUCUUGAGUCCGAUAGAGGUGGGUGGAAUUCCUAGUGUAGAGGUGAAAUUCGUAGAUAUUAGGAAGAACACCGGUGGCGAAGGCGGCCCACUGGAUCGGUACUGACGCUGAGGUGCGAAAGCGUGGGGAGCAAACAGG